rnacentral:tRNA from 1 species
AUAGUUUAUAAAAAACAUUGGUCUUGUAAACCAAAGAUUGAAGACUCACAAUUCUUCUUAGAGUUAACCUA